UGCAGUCGAGCGGAACGAUGAUAGCUUGCUAUCAGGCGUCGAGCGGCGGACGGGUGAGUAAUACUUAGGAAUCUACCUAGUAGUGGGGGAUAGCACGGGGAAACUCGUAUUAAUACCGCAUACGACCUACGGGAGAAAGGGGGCAGUUUACUGCUCUCGCUAUUAGAUGAGCCUAAGUCGGAUUAGCUAGAUGGUGGGGUAAAGGCCUACCAUGGCGACGAUCUGUAGCUGGUCUGAGAGGAUGAUCAGCCACACCGGGACUGAGACACGGCCCGGACUCCUACGGGAGGCAGCAGUGGGGAAUAUUGGACAAUGGGGGAAACCCUGAUCCAGCCAUGCCGCGUGUGUGAAGAAGGCCUUUUGGUUGUAAAGCACUUUAAGCAGUGAAGAAGACUCUUCGGUUAAUACCCGGAGACGAUGACAUUAGCUGCAGAAUAAGCACCGGCUAACUCUGUGCCAGCAGCCGCGGUAAUACAGAGGGUGCAAGCGUUAAUCGGAAUUACUGGGCGUAAAGGGAGCGUAGGUGGCUCGAUAAGUCAGAUGUGAAAUCCCCGGGCUCAACCUGGGAACUGCAUCUGAUACUGUUGAGCUAGAGUAUGUGAGAGGAAGGUAGAAUUCCAGGUGUAGCGGUGAAAUGCGUAGAGAUCUGGAGGAAUACCGAUGGCGAAGGCAGCCUUCUGGCAUAAUACUGACACUGAGGCUCGAAAGCGUGGGUAGCAAACAGGAUUAGAUACCCUGGUAGUCCACGCCGUAAACGAUGUCUACUAGUCGUUGGGUCCCUUGAGGACUUAGUGACGCAGCUAACGCAAUAAGUAGACCGCCUGGGGAGUACGGCCGCAAGGUUAAAACUCAAAUGAAUUGACGGGGGCCCGCACAAGCGGUGGAGCAUGUGGUUUAAUUCGAUGCAACGCGAAGAACCUUACCUGGUCUUGACAUAUCUAGAAUCCUGCAGAGAUGCGGGAGUGCCUUCGGGAAUUAGAAUACAGGUGCUGCAUGGCUGUCGUCAGCUCGUGUCGUGAGAUGUUGGGUUAAGUCCCGCAACGAGCGCAACCCUUGUCCUUAGUUACCAGCGGGUUAAGCCGGGAACUCUAAGGAUACUGCCAGUGACAAACUGGAGGAAGGCGGGGACGACGUCAAGUCAUCAUGGCCCUUACGACCAGGGCUACACACGUGCUACAAUGGUAGGUACAGAGGGCAGCUACACAGCGAUGUGAUGCGAAUCUCAAAAAGCCUAUCGUAGUCCAGAUUGGAGUCUGCAACUCGACUCCAUGAAGUAGGAAUCGCUAGUAAUCGCGAUCA
rnacentral:rRNA from 1 species